UACGUAGGGCGCAAGCGUUGUCCGGAAUUAUUGGGCGUAAAGAGCUCGUAGGCGGCCUGUUGCGUCCGCUGUGAAAUUCCGGGGCUCAACCCCGGGCGUGCAGUGGAUACGGGCUGGCUGGAGGCAGGCAGGGGAGAACGGAAUUCCUGGUGUAGCGGUGAAAUGCGCAGAUAUCAGGAGGAACACCAAUGGCGAAGGCAGCUCGCUGGGACGGUACUGACGCUGAGACGCGAAAGCGUGGGGAGCAAACAGG
rnacentral:rRNA from 1 species